CCGGUAAACGGCGGCCGUAACUAUAACGGUCCUAAGGUAGCGAAAUUCCUUGUCGGGUAAGUUCCGACCUGCACGAAUGGCGUAAUGAUGGCCAGGCUGUCUCCACCCGAGACUCAGUGAAAUUGAACUCGCUGUGAAGAUGCAGUGUACCCGCGGCAAGACGGAAAGACCCCGUGAACCUUUACUAUAGCUUGACACUGAACAUUGAGCCUUGAUGUGUAGGAUAGGUGGGAGGCUUAGAAGUGUGGACGCCAGUCUGCAUGGAGCCGACCUUGAAAUACCACCCUUUAAUGUUUGAUGUUCUAACGUUGACCCGUAAUCCGGGUUGCGGACAGUGUCUGGUGGGUAGUUUGACUGGGGCGGUCUCCUCCUAAAGAGUAACGGAGGAGCACGAAGGUUGGCUAAUCCUGGUCGGACAUCAGGAGGUUAGUGCAAUGGCAUAAGCCAGCUUGACUGCGAGCGUGACGGCGCGAGCAGGUGCGAAAGCAGGUCAUAGUGAUCCGGUGGUUCUGAAUGGAAGGGCCAUCGCUCAACGGAUAAAAGGUACUCCGGGGAUAACAGGCUGAUACCGCCCAAGAGUUCAUAUCGACGGCGGUGUUUGGCACCUCGAUGUCGGCUCAUCACAUCCUGGGGCUGAAGUAGGUCCCAAGGGUAUGGCUGUUCGCCAUUUAAAGUGGUACGCGAGCUGGGUUUAGAACGUCGUGAGACAGUUCGGUCCCUAUCUGCCGUGGGCGCUGGAGAACUGAGGGGGGCUGCUCCUAGUACGAGAGGACCGGAGUGGACGCAUCACUGGUGUUCGGGUUGUCAUGCCAAUGGCACUGCCCGGUAGCUAAAUGCGGAAGAGAUAAGUGCUGAAAGCAUCUAAGCACGAAACUUGCCCCGAGAUGAGUUCUCCCUGACUCCUUGAGAGUCCUGAAGGAACGUUGAAGA
rnacentral:rRNA from 1 species